GCGCAGCAGGCGAGAAAACUUCACACUGUGCGAAAGCACGAUGAGGGAAUCCCAAGUGCUUGCACGUAAGUGUAAGCUGUUUCUCUGUCUAAAACGCAGAGAGAGUAAGGGCUGGGUAAGACGGGUGCCAGCCGCCGCGGUAAUACCUGCAGCUCAAGUGGUGACCGUUAUUAUUGGGCCUAAAACGUCCGUAGCCGGUUUAAUAAAUGCCUGGGUAAAUUGUGUAGCUUAACUAUACGAAUUCCGGGUAGACUGUUAAACUUGAGACCGGGAGAAGUUAGAGGUACUCCUGGGGUAGAGGUGAAAAUUCUGUAAUCCUAGGGGGACCACCAGUGGCGAAGGCGUCUAACUAGAGCGGGUCUGACGGUGAGGGACGAAGCCCGUGGGGCGCGAAACGGGAUUAGAUACCCCGGUAGU
rnacentral:rRNA from 1 species